GAGGAACACGUGAACAACCUGCCUUCGAGUGGGAUAGCUUCUGGAAACGGGAGAUAAUACCGAAUAACGAUCAUCGGACCGCAUGGUCUGAUGAUCAAAGCAGCAAUGCGCUUGAAGAGGGGUUCGCGUCCCAUUAGCUAGUUGGUGAGGUAACGGCCCACCAAGGCGAUGAUGGGUAGCUGGUCUGAGAGGACGAUCAGCCACAUUGGGACUGAGAUACUGCCCAGACUCCUACGGGAGGCUGCAGUCGAGAAUUUUGGGCAAUGGACGAAAGUCUGACCCAGCAAUGCCGCGUGCGGGAUGAAGGUCUUCGGAUUGUAAACCGCUGUCAAGAGGGACGAAACAUGACGGUACCUCUGGAGGAAGCCACGGCUAACUACGUGCCAGCCGCGGC
rnacentral:rRNA from 1 species